GGGAGUAUAGCUCAGUGGUAGAGCGUUCGACUGGAGAUCGAGAGGUCCCCGGUUCAAAUCCGUGUGUUUUCU
rnacentral:tRNA from 1 species